rnacentral:rRNA from 1 species
GUCGAGCGGUAGCACAGAGAGCUUGCUCUCGGGUGACGAGCGGCGGACGGGUGAGUAAUGUCUGGGAAACUGCCUGAUGGAGGGGGAUAACUACUGGAAACGGUAGCUAAUACCGCAUAAUGUCGCAAGACCAAAGUGGGGGACCUUCGGGCCUCAUGCCAUCAGAUGUGCCCAGAUGGGAUUAGCUAGUAGGUGGGGUAACGGCUCACCUAGGCGACGAUCCCUAGCUGGUCUGAGAGGAUGACCAGCCACACUGGAACUGAGACACGGUCCAGACUCCUACGGGAGGCAGCAGUGGGGAAUAUUGCACAAUGGGCGCAAGCCUGAUGCAGCCAUGCCGCGUGUGUGAAGAAGGCCUUCGGGUUGUAAAGCACUUUCAGCGGGGAGGAAGGCGAUAAGGUUAAUAACCUUGUCGAUUGACGUUACCCGCAGAAGAAGCACCGGCUAACUCCGUGCCAGCAGCCGCGGUAAUACGGAGGGUGCAAGCGUUAAUCGGAAUUACUGGGCGUAAAGCGCACGCAGGCGGUCUGUCAAGUCGGAUGUGAAAUCCCCGGGCUCAACCUGGGAACUGCAUUCGAAACUGGCAGGCUAGAGUCUUGUAGAGGGGGGUAGAAUUCCAGGUGUAGCGGUGAAAUGCGUAGAGAUCUGGAGGAAUACCGGUGGCGAAGGCGGCCCCCUGGACAAAGACUGACGCUCAGGUGCGAAAGCGUGGGGAGCAAACAGGAUUAGAUACCCUGGUAGUCCACGCCGUAAACGAUGUCGAUUUGGAGGUUGUGCCCUUGAGGCGUGGCUUCCGGAGCUAACGCGUUAAAUCGACCGCCUGGGGAGUACGGCCGCAAGGUUAAAACUCAAAUGAAUUGACGGGGGCCCGCACAAGCGGUGGAGCAUGUGGUUUAAUUCGAUGCAACGCGAAGAACCUUACCUGGUCUUGACAUCCACAGAACUUUCCAGAGAUGGAUUGGUGCCUUCGGGAACUGUGAGACAGGUGCUGCAUGGCUGUCGUCAGCUCGUGUUGUGAAAUGUUGGGUUAAGUCCCGCAACGAGCGCAACCCUUAUCCUUUGUUGCCAGCGGUCCGGCCGGGAACUCAAAGGAGACUGCCAGUGAUAAACUGGAGGAAGGUGGGGAUGACGUCAAGUCAUCAUGGCCCUUACGACCAGGGCUACACACGUGCUACAAUGGCAUAUACAAAGAGAAGCGACCUCGCGAGAGCAAGCGGACCUCAUAAAGUAUGUCGUAGUCCGGAUUGGAGUCUGCAACUCGACUCCAUGAAGUCGGAAUCGCUAGUAAUCGUAGAUCAGAAUGCUACGGUGAAUACGUUCCCGGGCCUUGUACACACCGCCCGUCACACCAUGGGAGUGGGUUGCAAAAGAAGUAGGUAGCUUAACCUUCGGGAGGGCG